GACGAGUCUCACGAACGUUAUUCGGAAUUACUGGGCUUAAAGGGUGCGUAGGCGGUGGAGUAAGUCGGAUGUGAAAUACCAUAGCUUAACUAUGGAACUGCACUCGAUACUACUUUGCUAGAGUAAGACAGAGGUGAGUGGAACUGAGGGUGGAGCGGUGAAAUGCGUUGAUAUCCUCAGGAACACCGGUGGCGAAGGCGACUCACUGGGUCUUUACUGACGCUGAUGCACGAAAGCUAGGGUAGCAAACGGG
rnacentral:rRNA from 1 species